rnacentral:rRNA from 1 species
GACGAACGCUGGCGGCGUGCUUAACACAUGCAAGUCGAACGGGAAGAAAGAAAGAGCUUGCUCUUUUUGGAUUCUAGUGGCAAACGGGUGAGUAACACGUAAACAACCUGCCUUCAGGAUGGGGACGAACAGACGGAAACGACUGCUAAUACCGAAUACCUUCCAAUUCCGCAUGGAGAUAGGAAGAAAGGGUGGCCUCUACUUGUAAGCUAUCGCCUGAAGAGGGGUUUGCGUCUGAUUAGCUGGUUGGUUGAGGUAACGGCCCACCAAGGCGACGAUCAGUAGCCGGUCUGAGAGGAUGAACGGCCACACUGGAACUGAGACACGGUCCAGACUCCUACGGGAGGCAGCAGUGGGGAAUCUUCCGCAAUGGACGAAAGUCUGACGGAGCAACGCCGCGUGAACGAUGAAGGUCUUCGGAUUGUAAAGUUCUGUGAUCCGGGACGAAGGCAUCAGUUGAGAACAUUGAUUGAUGUUGACGGUACCGGAAAAGCAA